UAGAUACAAGCGAGCGGCGGACGGGUGAGUAACACGUGGGUAACCUACCCAAGAGACUGGGAUAACACCUGGAAACAGAUGCUAAUACCGGAUAACAACACUAGACGCAUGUCUAGAGUUUGAAAGAUGGUUCUGCUAUCACUCUUGGAUGGACCUGCGGUGCAUUAGCUAGUUGGUAAGGUAACGGCUUACCAAGGCAAUGAUGCAUAGCCGAGUUGAGAGACUGAUCGGCCACAUUGGGACUGAGACACGGCCCAAACUCCUACGGGAGGCAGCAGUAGGGAAUCUUCCACAAUGGACGAAAGUCUGAUGGAGCAACGCCGCGUGAGUGAAGAAGGGUUUCGGCUCGUAAAGCUCUGUUGGUAGUGAAGAAAGAUAGAGGUAGUAACUGGCCUUUAUUUGACGGUAAUUACUUAGAAAGUCACGGCUAACUACGUGCCAGCAGCCGCGGUAAUACGUAGGUGGCAAGCGUUGUCCGGAUUUAUUGGGCGUAAAGCGAGUGCAGGCGGUUCAAUAAGUCUGAUGUGAAAGCCUUCGGCUCAACCGGAGAAUUGCAUCAGAAACUGUUGAACUUGAGUGCAGAAGAGGAGAGCGGAACUCCAUGUGUAGCGGUGGAAUGCGUAGAUAUAUGGAAGAACACCAGUGGCGAAGGCGGCUCUCUGGUCUGCAACUGACGCUGAGGCUCGAAAGCAUGGGUAGCGAACAGGAUUAGAUACCCUGGUAGUCCAUGCCGUAAACGAUGAGUGCUAAGUGUUGGGAGGUUUCCGCCUCUCAGUGCUGCAGCU
rnacentral:rRNA from 1 species